ACGAUGACCCCGUGCUUGCACGGGUGAUUAGUGGCGAACGGGUGAGUAACACGUGAGUAACCUGCCCCUGACUCUGGGAUAAGCCCGGGAAACUGGGUCUAAUACUGGAUAUGACCUUUAACCGCAUGGUUUUUGGUGGAAAGAUUUAUCGGUUGGGGAUGGACUCGCGGCCUAUCAGCUUGUUGGUGAGGUAAUGGCUCACCAAGGCGACGACGGGUAGCCGGCCUGAGAGGGUGACCGGCCACACUGGGACUGAGACACGGCCCAGACUCCUACGGGAGGCAGCAGUGGGGAAUAUUGCACAAUGGGCGAAAGCCUGAUGCAGCGACGCCGCGUGAGGGAUGACGGCCUUCGGGUUGUAAACCUCUUUCAGUAGGGAAGAAGCGAAAGUGACGGUACCUGCAGAAGAAGCGCCGGCUAACUACGUGCCAGCAGCCGCGGUAAUACGUAGGGCGCAAGCGUUAUCCGGAUUUAUUGGGCGUAAAGAGCUCGUAGGCGGUUUGUCGCGUCUGCCGUGAAAGUCCGAGGCUCAACCUCGGAUCUGCGGUGGGUACGGGCAGACUAGAGUGAUGU
rnacentral:rRNA from 1 species